UCAUUUUAAAGUCAUAAUGUUGAAACUCUAAUGUCUUCCAUAUGUUCUAACUCCAAUCUAUGGAGCAAAAUUGCAACUGUACAUUAUCUGGUCUGUCUAC